rnacentral:rRNA from 1 species
GAUGAACGCUGGCGGCGUGCCUAAUACAUGCAAGUCGAGCGAACAGAUGAGGAGCUUGCUCCUCUGACGUUAGCGGCGGACGGGUGAGUAACACGUGGAUAACCUACCUAUAAGACUGGGAUAACUUCGGGAAACCGGAGCUAAUACCGGAUAAUAUAUUGAACCGCAUGGUUCAAUAGUGAAAGACGGUUUUGCUGUCACUUAUAGAUGGAUCCGCGCCGCAUUAGCUAGUUGGUAAGGUAACGGCUUACCAAGGCAACGAUGCGUAGCCGACCUGAGAGGGUGAUCGGCCACACUGGAACUGAGACACGGUCCAGACUCCUACGGGAGGCAGCAGUAGGGAAUCUUCCGCAAAGGGCGAAAGCCUGACGGAGCAACGCCGUGUGAGUGAUGAAGGUCUUCGGAUCGUAAAACUCUGUUAUUAGGGAAGAACAAAUGUGUAAGUAACUAUGCACGUCUUGACGGUACCUAAUCAGAAAGCCACGGCUAACUACGUG